CCCUUAUUAAUGUGGGAGGUCUCAACUCUCCCAGAAGGCCUGUGAGACCUUAACUGUGUUCAUUUGGAGACAAAUUUUGGCUCUUUGCCAUAAUUAAAGGACAAUACGGGAUCCCAAGAUCUGUACAAAUUCCGUCGUUCUGUAGGUGUUUCAGAAGAGGUAGCUGAUGGAAAAUAUAACGUGAGUCUGAGCUUACAUGUACUGUGGAAUAGCAGGAUGAUUUCUUCUCUCUUGUCCUGUCUGGGGAUUCCCGCAGUUGUGUACAAAAGUGGAAAACUGCCUCAGUCUCUCGUCUGUUUGGAAAGUGCUGCUUUUGCUGGCCAGGAAUGCAGGCAGCCACCUAUGAACUGGCUCACCUGUUGCAUGUUGAGAAGUAAGAUGAUGAAUACCAGUUCUGUAAAACUGCUCAGACGAGGAAAAUUACAUGGCCAUUAUAAGUCAGUUGCAUGAAAAUCCUUGGGUAAACAUCAUACAUUCUGGGCCACUUGAAGGUGAAUAUUUUCAUCAGAUCUCUCCCCAUCCUGUAAUUUAUAAUCAGUGGAGCUAGUAUGCAGUGCUUUAAGACCAUAAAACAGAAAAUUCUCAUGGAAGGAAAAAUUCAUAAUGUUUGCCAGAUGAUAAUCCAGAAGGUCUACAUGCUCAGAAUGUUGAUUGUUGACCCAUUACCUUCUUCAACAACACAAGAUGGAAGAAGAUAAUAAAAUUAUCAUGAUAAAGAUUUUUUUUCAUGAAGAUGUCCAACUGUGUACCUGCCAUGCAUGAAGGAAACAAAAUGACAUGGACAAAUGAAAUAGGACCAGGAGACUGAGUGCAAGCAGGUGGCGAGACUGCUGGGUGCUGGAAUUCAUACAAUUGGAAUAGUGUCCCCAACUGAGAGCCUUAGCUUCAUCUGGCAUACCAAGAAAUGCAACCUCCCCCCACCUUCUGCUUGACCACAGAGUGUUCAGUGUGGAGCAGGUUCAGCCUUCGGUCUCCCUGUCAGAUCUAUAAUGUUUCCCAGUGAUGGGCAGGAUUGAGUUAAGUGACAUCAGAGUAUCCGAAAGCCCUCUCUGAAGUUAGUGGGACCACUCAUCUGGACAUAGUUAGUCAUAUGUAUCAGUGUCUGAAGGACAAGUAUGAGGGGUGCUGGGCAAAGCUUGCCAUUUCACAUUAAAACAGUUGUGGAAAAGUGUAUCAGAUCACAAUAUAUUGUAUUUAUUUUAUGUGAACAG
rnacentral:lncRNA from 1 species